CUACGGGGUGCACCAGUGGGGAAUAUUGCACAAUGGGCGCAAGCCUGAUGCAGCAACGCCGUGUGAGUGAUGAAGGUCUUCGGAUUGUAAAACUCUGUCCUAUGGGAAGAAAAAAAUGACGGUACCAUAGGAGGAAGCCCCGGCUAACUACGUGCCAGCAGCCGCGGUAAUACGUAGGGGGCAAGCGUUAUCCGGAAUCACUGGGCGUAAAAGGUGCGUAGGCGGCCUAUCAAGUCAGAGGUGAAAGGCAUUGGCUCAACCAAUGUAAGCCUUUGAAACUGUUAGGCUUGAGUGCAGGAGAGGUAAGUGGAAUUCCUAGUGUAGAGGUGAAAUUCGUAGAUAUUAGGAGGAACACCAGUGGCGAAGGCGACUUACUGGACUGUAACUGACGCUGAGGCACGAAAGCGUGGGGAGCGAACAGGAUUAGAUACCCCCGUAGUC
rnacentral:rRNA from 1 species